rnacentral:rRNA from 1 species
UACGGAGGGUGCAAGCGUUACUCGGAAUCACUGGGCGUAAAGGACGCGUAGGCGGGUUGGUAAGUCUGAUGUGAAAUCCUAUGGCUCAACCAUAGAACUGCAUUGGAAACUACCGACCUAGAGUAUGGGAGGGGGAGAUGGAAUUAGUGGUGUAGGGGUAAAAUCCGUAGAUAUCACUAGGAAUACCGAAAGCGAAGGCGAUCUCCUGGAACAUUACUGACGCUAAGGCGUGAAAGCGUGGGGAGCAAACAGGAUUAGAUACCCUGGUAGUCCACGCCCUAAACGAUGUUCACUAGUCGUCGGGAUGCUAGUCAUCCCGGUGAUGCACUUAACAGAUUAAGUGAACCGCCUGGGGAGUACGGUCGCAAGAUUAAAACUCAAAGGAAUAGACGGGGACCCGCACAAGUGGUGGAGCAUGUGGUUUAAUUCGAAGAUACGCGAAAAACCUUACCUAGCCUUGACAUUGAUAGAAUUCUGUAGAGAUACGGAAGUGCCCUUCGGGGAACUUGAAAACAGGUGCUGCACGGCUGUCGUCAGCUCGUGUCGUGAGAUGUUGGGUUAAGUCCCGCAACGAGCGCAACCCUCGUCUUUAGUUGCCAGCAGUUCGGCUGGGCACUCUAAAGAGACUGCCUUCGCAAGAAGGAGGAAGGUGAGGACGACGUCAAGUCAUCAUGGCCCUUAUGGCUAGGGCUACACACGUGCUACAAUGGGGCGUACAGAGAGUUGCGAUACCGCGAGGUGGAGCCAAUCUCACAAAGCGUCUCUC